GAUGAACGCUGGCGGCGUGCCUAAUACAUGCAAGUCGAGCGAACGGACGAGAAGCUUGCUUCUCUGAUGUUAGCGGCGGACGGGUGAGUAACACGUGGAUAACCUACCUAUAAGACUGGGAUAACUUCGGGAAACCGGAGCUAAUACCGGAUAAUAUUUUGAACCGCAUGGUUCAAAAGUGAAAGACGGUCUUGCUGUCACUUAUAGAUGGAUCCGCGCUGCAUUAGCUAGUUGGUAAGGUAACGGCUUACCAAGGCAACGAUGCAUAGCCGACCUGAGAGGGUGAUCGGCCACACUGGAACUGAGACACGGUCCAGACUCCUACGGGAGGCAGCAGUGGGGAAACUUCCGCAAUGGGCGAAAGCCUGACGGAGCAACGCCGCGUGAGUGAUGAAGGUCUUCGGAUCGUAAAACUCUGUUAUUAGGGAAGAACAUAUGUGUAAGUAACUGUGCACAUCUUGACGGUACCUAAUCAGAAAGCCACGGCUAACUACGUG
rnacentral:rRNA from 1 species